GAUGAACGCUGGCGGCGUGCCUAAUACAUGCAAGUCGAGCGAACGGACGAGAAGCUUGCUUCUCUGAUGUUAGCGGCGGACGGGUGAGUAACACGUGGAUAACCUACCUAUAAGACUGGGAUAACUUCGGGAAACCGGAGCUAAUACCGGAUAAUAUUUUGAACCGCAUGGUUCAAAAGUGAAAGGCGGUCUUGCUGUCACUUAUAGAUGGAUCCGCGCUGCAUUAGCUAGUUGGUAAGGUAACGGCUUACCAAGGCAACGAUGCAUAGCCGACCUGAGAGGGUGAUCGGCCACUCUGGAACUGAGACACGGUCCAGACUCCUACGGGAGGCAGCAGUAGGGAAUCUUCCGCAAUGGGCGAAAGCCUGACGGAGCAACGCCGCGUGAGUGAUGAAGGUCUUCGGAUCGUAAAACUCUGUUAUUAGGGAAGAACAUAUGUGUAAGUAACUGUGCACAUCUUGACGGUACCUAAUCAGAAAGCCACGGCUAACUACGUG
rnacentral:rRNA from 1 species